CAGGUGGCUGCCUGCCAGAGAGGAGGCAUUGCGCAGACUCUUGUGCAAACAGGCUGGUUGGCGUGUGCCUGCGGAAGAGGCCACCUGCCGGCAUCUUCCCGGGGAAGAGUAUAUCUACAUGUUGAAACAGACACAGAGCUGGAAGAUGGGAAGCGGAUCAGAAAUGCCCUAGGUUGGUUGCAGUUGUACCUAUCAACCAUUACCCAGCUCUUACUCCAGGACUCCGAACACUUUUUGUGGAACAGACUUUGCUGUGUCCGGUGCCCUUCUCUUGUCCACCUUGGCGUCUUUACACACUCCACUCCUCUACCUACAGGGCUCCCUUUCCGUCUUUGCCUUCAGAUUUCAGCACAAAUACCUCUCUUCUGGGAGCCUUUUCUGACCAUCUGAUCACUGAUCACCUCCAUGCUGGGGAGUUGGUUUUAUUAUUGUUCUCCCAGGACCAGGUGCUUUUCCUUCAAAGCACUUAUUCACGUUUCUAAAUGUAUAUCUAUUUCUGGUGAUCAGAUGAAUACUUACCUUCCCAUAGAUGGUAAGCUCCAGAAGAGCAGGG
rnacentral:lncRNA from 1 species